GGAGAUGGACCAUAGCUUAGAGGUGAUGCAUCUGCUUUGUUUGCAGAUGGUCCAAGGUUUGAUACCUGGCAUCUCCA